AAGUCGUAACAAGGUCUCCGUUGGUGAACCAGCGGAGGGAUCAUUACAGGACUCGCAAGACUCCUACAACCCUGUGAACCUACUAUACGAACGUUGCUUCGGUGGGUGCGCCCCGGGGAUUCGUUCCCGAGGCGCGUCAGCCCGCCGGCAGCCUACAAAUUCUGUUUCUUUGCGUUGGCAUCUCGAGAAAAAAAAAAUAAGUUAAAACUUUCAACAACGGAUCUCUUGGUUCUG
rnacentral:misc_RNA from 1 species